UACGUAGGGGGCUAGCGUUGUCCGGAAUCAUUGGGCGUAAAGCGCGCGUAGGCGGCCCGGUAAGUCCGCUGUAAAAGUCAAAGGCUCAACCUUUGAAUGUCAGUGGAUACUGCCGGGCUAGAGUCCGGAAGAGGCGAGUGGAACUCCUGGUGUAGCGGUGAAAUGCGCAGAUAUCGGGAGGAACACCUAUGGCGAAGGCAGCUCGCUGGGACGUUACUGACGCUGAGACGCGAAAGCGUGGGGAGCAAACAGG
rnacentral:rRNA from 1 species